rnacentral:rRNA from 1 species
AAUGAACGCUGGCGGCGUGCUUAACACAUGCAAGUCGGAUGUGCCGCAAGGUGCAUGGCAGACGGGUGAGUAACGCGUAGGGAACCUACCUCUUUGUGGGGAAUAACGUUCCGAAAGGAAUGGUAAUACCGCAUGAGAUCCACGACUGGGAUGUUGUGGAUGAAAGCCGGGGAUCGAAAGACCUGGCGCAAGGAGAGGGUCCUGCGUCUGAUUAGCUAGUUGGUGGGGUAACGGCCUACCAAGGCAACGAUCAGUAGCCGGCCUGAGAGGGUGAUCGGCCACACUGGAACUGAGACACGGGCCAGACUCCUACGGGAGGCAGCAGUGGGGAAUUUUGCGCAAUGGACGAAAGUCUGACGCAGCAACGCCGCGUGGGUGAUGAAGGUCUUCGGAUUGUAAAACCCUGUCGUCAGGGACGAAGGUAGGGAACUUAAUACGUUUUCUGCUUGACGGUACCUGGAGAGGAAGCCCCGGCUAACUCCGUGCCAGCCGCCGCCGUAAUAC